rnacentral:lncRNA from 1 species
CUCUGUGGUCACAUCAUUGUUGGGACUACUAACAUGCAUAUAAAGAUGUGUUAAACAGUCUGCAGCUGAAAAAGGUGUCUACCGAUAAUGUCCUUUUAACUAAACCAACAAAAAAAAUGUAAUCAAAAACAAAACAUAAUCCCUAAAAUAAGAGGCAGAAUGAUACAUAGGCAUAGGGAUUAGACAUAUAGACAUGGGAUUAGACAUAUAGACAUGGGAUUAGACAUAUAGACACGGGGAUUAGACAUAUAGACAGGGGAUUAGACAUAUAGACAUGGGAUUAGACAUAUAGACACGGGGAUUAGACAUAUAGACAUGGGAUUAGACAUAUAGACACGGGGAUUAGACAUAUAGACAUGGGAUUAGACAUAUAGACAUGGGAUUAGACAUGGGGAUUAGACAUAUAGACAUGGGGAUUAGACAUAUAGACAUGGGAUUAGACAUAUAGACAUGGGAUUAGACAUAUAGACAUGGGAUUAGACAUAUAGACAUGGGGAUUAGACAUAUAGACACGGGGAUUAGACAUAUAGACAUGGGGAUUAGACAUAUAGACAUGGGAUUAGACAUAUAGACACGGGAUUAGACAAUAGACACAGGGAUUAGACAUAUAGACACUGGGAUUAGACAUAUAGACAUGGGUAACAAACAAUGUAGCAUUUCUUCGUUUGUGGGAAGGGAAAUUCAAUAAUAUUAGCCGUGGAUGACACAAAUAUCCAUUCUCUCAAAGAAAAGACAAUCUUUUUUUCUGCCAUAUUAGCAGAAUCACAAAUGAUCAAGCGAUGGUGAGACUGUAGUACCACACUACACAGUCCUUCUGCUGAAAGCUCACAGAGUUAAUUUCAGCAUCCACGCACAGUCACACACACACACACACA